UCAACGGAGAGUUUGAUCCUGGCUCAGGACGAACGCUGGCGGCGUGCUUAACACAUGCAAGUCGAGCGGUAAGGCCCUUCGGGGUACACGAGCGGCGAACGGGUGAGUAACACGUGGGUGAUCUGCCCUGCACUUCGGGAUAAGCCUGGGAAACUGGGUCUAAUACCGGAUAUGACCUUCGGCUGCAUGGCUGAGGGUGGAAAGGUUUACUGGUGCAGGAUGGGCCCGCGGCCUAUCAGCUUGUUGGUGGGGUAAUGGCCUACCAAGGCGACGACGGGUAGCCGACCUGAGAGGGUGACCGGCCACACUGGGACUGAGACACGGCCCAGACUCCUACGGGAGGCAGCAGUGGGGAAU
rnacentral:rRNA from 1 species